UGACCCCUGAUAACCCGCAAACGGUGCG
rnacentral:sRNA from 1 species